UACGUAGGUGGCAAGCGUUGUCCGGAUUUAUUGGGUUUAAAGGGUGCGUAGGCGGCUUUGUAAGUCAGUGGUGAAAUAUGGCAGCUCAACUGUCAAGGUGCCAUUGAUACUGCGGAGCUUGAGUACAGAUGAGGUAGGCGGAAUUGACGGUGUAGCGGUGAAAUGCGUAGAUAUUGGGAGGAACACCAGUGGCGAAGGCGGCUCACUGGACUGGUACUGACGCUGAGGCGCGAAAGCGUGGGGAUCAAACAGG
rnacentral:rRNA from 1 species